CUCUCGCUCCCUGCCGUUGCCGGCUAAGCGGGCCAAGGGCAGGGAGGGACCGAGCUACAUCCAUAUUCCCGGUGGCCAGUCAGGACGAGCAACGUUGCGAUGGCCGUGUUAGGACGAAGGAGCGGGGCCAUCAGAAGCUCGGUGUGGUGCAAGACUGGUGGCAGGGAGGCGUGGAGAAGAGCUGGUGGUUGCCUUUGCGAGGUGCUGCUACUGGGCUCCAUGGGAGCCGCCGCCGGCAAUCUCCUGUUCCCGGCCACCAUUCCGUGUCGUAGCAGGACGCCACCCCAACAAGCUUCUCCCGCUGUUGCAUGGGCUAGCUGACGUGGGAGACGGAAAGGUUGAGCAGGAGGAGUUGCACAGCUCGGUUAGCUGUGGCGACCACAUGCAGCAGCGAUAUCUUUGCAGGCGAUGACGACCAGCGAUGCCACCACGCCGUGCACAAUCCUGCUCGGGCCUUCCCGCCACCUGAACUGAGAGGGCACCCCUGCCCUGGUCUAGCUGCUGCAGGACGAUGCGAGGAUGCUUCUGCUUCUGCUUGUGCCAUUUUCAGGGGAUUUCCAGUUGUUGGAGCUGGCUAGGAGGUAGCAAUGGCUACUGGAUCUAUCUGAUUGGCAGUGAUGGUCUUCGUCCUCGACUUUGUGGGGGUUUAGGAUAUAUCCAGGAGGAGGGCUAGAUGGCAGCAAGAAACCUGCAGCCUGAUGCAUCAUCGAUCAGGGUGUAAGCUGGAAGGGCCAAGGGAGAAGUAACCGUCUUAUACAUGCCUUGCUCUGUGCAUCAGCGUUUUUUUUUUGUUACUCUGGUUGUAAUGCAGCGCUAGUGAGGUUUCAGAUUCUGAAGAAUCUUGUAUUGCAUCAUGUCGGUGUUGUAUGUAACCCUCCUACGAUGUGAUUGCGGAAAGGUGUGCUGCUGUGCAUCAGCUAUUCUUUGAUGCUGAUUGCUGGGCAGUUUUCCGGUGGAUUAGAGUUGUGGUGGAGUUUGUAUGUCUCGUGGGCUACUUAUUGCCUUGAACGGAAGUAUGCUAUUUGCUGUUCUGGUUUGGAUGUCCAAAUACAAGGCAAGGUCGUGCCAAAAAUUUAAGUGACCCCUGCCAUUUUCUUCA